ACCUCCGAUGGUACACACUGUCAUUACUGGAGCUGCUGUGAGUGGGGCACAGCAGGAGGAGGUAGAGGAAGGAGCUGGGGUCACCAGUCUGUGGUCGAUGCCCUCAGCAGUGGCGUGGGGCUGGGUUGACGUGGGUCAAGUGCUGCCGGAGGAGGAUGAUGAGUGCUCAGCACCCCCUUAGAAGGGCCUGGGGAGUGUGGAAUGGGGGACAGCCAGAUUCCCACCUGCAUGCUGCUGCCGCACCCAUUCGGGAAAUGGCAAGCCCUUCACUUCUUACCUUGCUUCAUAAACCUAGCUGGAAUGUAGGCCCCUCCACAUGGAAAGGUGGCUGAUUGCCAGGCCCAGUGGUGUGGUUUCAAGCUGGAUUUUUGCAUUUUGGGGGAGCCAUGAGGAUGGGGGGGUCCUUACUCCAGUCCAGUGGGAGAAGCAGCUUCACUGCUUUUAGUUGUGUCAUCUUUUAGACCUACAGCAGCUCCUAACAAUGAGAUGGACCCUAGGAGUUUAUCUAAUGUACGUCGACCCUUUAGGAACUGCUCCUCUAACCCUUCAGACACCCAGAGCUAUAGGAUGUGAUUAGCUAGUCAUCUGCACUUUGUUCCUCCCCGCUCUUACCCUCUUCACAUCCACCAGGCCUCACAUCAUGACACCUACAAAACACAGGCCAUCCUCAGUGUGGUUAAAGUAUUUAGGCUGCAGCCUAAGAGCUCAGUAAAAUGAUGAGCAGAUAUGAGUCAGGCUUCACGCUUAGAAUUUCUUUUGUAGGGGACUGCGGGUUGUCUGCAGAACAUUCUGUAGAGUUGGUUCUGACUUUCUUUUCACCUUGCCAGUGCCACUGGAGAGGUGUUGCUCCUGGUGAGGCCGAUGCUCACCAGCCUCUCACUGUUCAUCAUUUAGCUGGAGGACCAGGCCAGGGAUGGCAGAUGAAUAUUGCCUGCAGGGGACUCUGAUUGACAGGCUAGGACUCACCAGAGCCUGAGGAUGCUGUAUCUGGAAACAGCAGGAAAGAGGAACAUAGUCUGGUAGCAGAGUCUGCCUUGGGUGUGGGAGUGGGGACUGGCAUCUGCAUCCUGCAUUCUGGCAAAUCGAGGACAGGUGCUUUGCAGUGUGACCGUGAAGCUGCUGGAUGGAAGCCCUUACUGCUGCCUCCAGAACAGCGGCCCUUGAACUUAGGCUGCAUCAGCAUUGCCUGAAGGGAUUGUUAAAAUGUAGAUCGCUGGGCCCCACACCCGGGGUUUCUGAACUUCCCAUUCUUUUUCUUUUGAGGCAGGGUCUCAGUCUGUCACCCAGGCUGGAGUGCAGUGGCACAAUCAUGACUCGUGCAACCUUGACGUCCCACAUUCAGGUGAUUCUUGUGUCUCAGCCUCCCAGGUAGCUGGGAUUACAGGUGCAUGCCACCACACCCGGCUAAUUUUUUAAUUUUUGUAGAGACGGAGUUUCACCAUGUUGCCCAGACUGAUCUAGAACUCCUGGACUCAAGUGAUCCGCCUGCCUUGGCCUCUCAAAGUGCUGGGAUUACAGGCCUGAGCCACCCUGCCGGGCCUUCUGAGUUUCCAUUCUAACAUGUUCUGGGUGGCAUUGAUGGUGCCAGUCGGGACUACACUGUGGCGGCCACAGUUCUGAAGCAGUGGCUCUUAGCUGCUGUCGGAACACGAACCCUGAGGAGUUUCUGCUCCUCUCCAAAGUAAAAUGCUUAUAAAUUUUAGAUACAUUUCCAUUCAGUCCACAGACUAGAGCCCAUGUAUGGCUAAGAACAUCUGGUCUACAGAUCACUGGGAGGGGUGAAUUCUUUAUUGGUAAUCAAACUUGGAUAACCUUAGCGAUUUCAAGGCUCUUCUUAUAUUUCCACCGGAAUCCAGCCAUGACCUGAUGUGAGGAGUGUGUCGCUGUGUUGAGCUUCUGCCUUGUUUCUCUGUCCACACACACUGCCCAGUGUGGAAUAGAGAAUCAGCCCAAAACAAAGGGUUCUCACACUCCUGUGACAUCAGAAUUUCCGUCCAUAUCAGGCUUUAUAAAAUAUAACGACAUGACCAGAUGCGGUGGCUCACGCCUGUAAUCCCAGCACUUUGGGAGGCUGAGGCAGGUGGAUCACUUGAGGCCAGGAGUUCGAGACAAGCCUGGCCAAUAUGGUGAAACCCCGUCUCUACUAAAAAUACAAAAAAAUUAGCCGGGUGUAGUGGCGGGUGCCUGUAGCCCCAACUACCCGGGAGGCUAAGGCAGGAGAAUGGCGUGAACCCGGGAGGUGGAGCUUGCAGCGAGCCGAGAUAGCACCACGGCACUCCAGCCUGGGCAACAGUGUGAGACU